UGGGCGUAAGCGCGCGCAGGCGGUUUCUUAAGUCUGAUGUGAAAGCCCACGGCUCAACCGUGGAGGGUCAUUGGAAACUGGGGAACUUGAGUGCCGAAGAGAAAAGCGGAAUUCCACGUGUAGCGGUGAAAUGCGUAGAGAUGUGGAGGAACACCAGUGGCGAAGGCGGCUUUUUGGUCUGUAACUGACGCUGAGGCGCGAAAGCGUGGGGAGCAUACAGGAUUAGAUACCCUGGGAGUCCACGCCGUACACAAUGAGUGCUAAGUGU
rnacentral:rRNA from 1 species